UCUCCAAGUACUUACUGAACAGACAAUGCUAUUGCAAGGAGAUGAGCCAGCCGUGUAAAGCACAGAGGGCAGGGAGCUGAGGCUGGACCUACCAUGCACAAAGAAAGCCUCCAGUUUGAUCCCCAGUACCACGUCAAACCAGGUAGCCUCUGCCUGUGAUCCCUUCACUGGGGAAGUAGAGGCAGCAGGAUCAGAAGCCCAAGGUCAUCCUCACCUACAAAGCAAAUGCUAGGCCACCCUGCGAUGCAUACAACCCUAUUACGAGAACACUCAAAACAAAGAGGCAAAGAAUCCUCCUCCUGCCCCUCCCACUCCUCCUGCCCUCACCCGCUCCCCCUCAACCUCCUACUCCAUCCUUUGAGGAAAAAAUUGAUGAAGGCAGGAUAUACUGUGAAAGCCAGAAUGAACCAGAAAAGGGCAGACAAACUUGACAAACCAUGUACCAACCAAGGUUACUGAUGCUCUGGGAAGGAAUAGAAGAAAUGGAAGAGGGACACACACACACACUCACACACACACACUGCCACAGCCACCACCACAGUAGCCCACAGUGAACUCUUCCUUGGCUGGUGCAGUGCAUAGGAGUCUAUGUAUCCCAGGAGUCCUGAAGUCAUGGUGUUCAGAAUCUGCCCACACAGACAGAGCAUCUCCUAUGUGGCAGAUGACAUAAAAAAAAAAUUAUAAUUUUAUCCUACUCUAGAGUUGAGACCCAAAUUUUAAUUCUGGCUUUUCCCAAUACUGGUGAUGCAACUUUACCUGGCCUGGGCCUUAUCCACCCGUAAAAUGAGCAGCUCAAAGAAAAAACAGAAUUGUGCCAUUUACAGGUCAGUGCAAACAACUGUACCUCAUCAUGUUAAAUGAAACAGGCCAGUCUGACAUAGACGCAUACCACAUGUUCUCUCUCGUGAUAAAUUUCAGGGGAGAUUUCAUAAGCAACUUAGAAAUUAAUUUAAAAAAUAAAUUAAUGAAAAAUUAAAAUAAUAAAAUUUAGGGAGAGUAGGGGAUAGGAAAGUAAAUGGGAGACUUAGUGAUAUAGACAGGGAGAGAGGAGAAAGAAGGGCAAUAGAGGGUUGAAUACAGUUAAAGAACAAUACUUGUGUUAUAGAAAAAUAAGGAAACACAUCACUUUGGAUAUUAAAUAUAUGCUAAUAAAAAGUGAAAAUAAAUGAGGGGCUGAUUAAGUUUAUGGAAGAUAGCCUUCAGCUAAAACAGAAUCCACAGAUCAUUGUUAUUAAACACAUGUUCAUAGUCACCUAGGAAAGCAGGUGCUAAGGCCAAUUGAAUAUCUUUCUAUUUGGGGCUCUUAACUCUCAAUGGAAUCCUCUGUGCUGAGCACCUAAAAGUUGAAACCAGAAGAAAUGCAGCUGUAGCCUUUGGCUUUGGUGGCUUUUCUACCUCUGAUCCACGCGGUGCUACCCAGAAUGACCAUGUAUGGUCAGGUGUGUUGUGCCCUGUGCAGAAGUACAAAGCCAAAGGAGGUCAGGGAAAUGGGACUAAAUUCCAAGGUGUUCCCAGUCCAAGUCAAAGGUGUAUUAUUGGAUUGGAGCUGCCUUUGGACUGUCCAUCAAAGAAAAUUAACAGGCAAGACUGGGAAGCCAUGGUCAAGCUUGUAUUGAAGUUCAAGCUGUGUUUAGAGCUUCCCACUUGACCUUUGCUGAGAACACUUCC
rnacentral:lncRNA from 1 species